GGCUCUGCUAGCGACCGCCAUGGCGACAGGGGCUGGCGGUGGUGGCGCGAGCCGGCCUCCCGGAGCCAGCGCCGGGAUGCAGGCCCAGAUGGAGAACAAGAGGACCAACAGAGAGAGUGAUGCAAUGGAAAAAAGGGGCCCAUACAUCAUGACCAAAGCUUCCUCCAUUCAUGCCAAACUGCAGAAGCAUCGAGAAAUGGCGAAGGCAGUGCUCCGGAGGAAAGGCAUCCUGGGGGCAACUGUUCAACAGCAAUCAAAGCCAGCAGCAAAGAGGUCAGUGAAGUUUAACAAGGGCUAUGCUGCUCUCAGCCAGACAGCGGAUGAGAACCUGGUGUCCCUUGAUUCAGACAGUGAUGGGGAGCUGGAGUCAAGAUGUUCCUCCGGUUACUCCUCUGCAGAGCAGGUGAACCAGGAUCUAAGCCGUCAGCUUCUGCAGGACGGGUACCACCUAGAUGAGAUCCCAGACGAUGAGGACCUAGAUCUCAUUCCCCCAAAACCUGUUGCCUCGUCACCUUGUCCCUGUUGCUUCGGGGAAUCUUUCUCCUGCACAAUCCAGUAGACACUGCUCAACUGGGGCUGCACACUACAAGUCAAAGGCCAGCACUUUCUACUGUGUUUCUUAGUACAUUAGUAUGCCUGAUAGAGGCAACUACAUUCAGCAUUGAACACUGGCAGAAACUGAAAUGGGCUCAGUGACUGAAGAACUGGACGCUGCCACUGCUGCAGUUAUUGGCACCUGCUCAAGUUGAGCAGCAACAGUUGAUUAUCCCAAAGCUACUUUUUGUUACAUAUAGUGAUAUAAUAUAUAGCUAUUAUGUGUAGCUGUUCAGGUUGCCUGAAUGUGGAAAGAUGCUUCAUGCUGGCUGUGGGAGGAGGGAGAAGAGAGAACAUGUGCGUACUCUCACUCUUAAAGGAAACUCCAAAGCUGUUUGUAAAGAGGAACAGCAAAAGUCUCAAGUCAGUAACCUAACAAGCUGGAGAAAUGCAAAUGAAGGCACUUGAGUCUGCAAACAGUCAUUCCUUUUCCUCAUGUGCCAAGGCUGGGGUUCGGGAUCUGGUGCUGCCUUGGGUGGUUGCCAUGUCCUUACAGACUCUGAACUCAGGAUGUAGCAGCUGGAUGGUCCCAGACCAGUGCACUUGAGGCCAUUCUGUUGACAUCUCCUUGAAGAGAGGGUUGUUCUGUAAGUACCUGUACGGGCUGGGCCUAGAAGUUGGCUGACUCUGGCUGCUUUCAGUGGCACUUUCCUGAUCCCAACAGCUGAAUAAAUGAGCUUGGAUUUCACGGCACCUCUAAAGCUGUGGGCCACACCAAGCGUGCUGCCUUACUUAGGGCUAUAUGUUGCAUCCAAGUCCAUGUCUGGUGGACAGAAGUGAAAAGGUUAUGGAGGGAUUACUUCCCCACCAGCCCAGGUGCACUCACAUUAGUAGUGGCCUGAAAGGUUUGGCUGCUUGGUUCUGUGCUUAACUUCCUACUUGCCUUUUACUUGUUAAAACAGGGAGUUGGAAUAUGAUGCUGUACCUUUCCUGCUAAAUCUCAGGACCUUUGUUUCAGAUCCUGUUGCUGUGGAAAAUACUCCCCCAGUCAAUUGCAGGGAGCUGUUUAGCUAAAAGUUAAUCUCUGUUCUAGUCUAAUGUUCUUUAAUGGUGCUUGUUCAACUACCAAGACAAUACAAGAGUGUUGUGGCUAUGUAGGUUUUAGUCCAGAACCUCUAGGUUAAGCAGUGAGCAGAUCAUUGUGUGUGGGGGUUUGGGCCAAGGACAGAAGACGGGGGGGGGUUUCCUCUGACAUGAAGUUAAAAAGCUGCCUUAAAUCAGUCACGCUGUGAUAUGCAGAGGACAACCAGCUUCUAAAGAAAUCUAACGUCUUAAGUAUUGCUACAGGGAACUAUGACAAAGUUUUAUAUAUUCCUGGUCAAGGAAAGUUUUGUUUGUAAUAAACUUGAUCGUGUGUUACACAAGCGGUGUGUUUUGCUGUAGUUGGGAGCAAUCACACACACUUCUUGGUGCAACUGAAAGAGUUGCUGGUUGACUUUUAGUAGAGAACUGGCAGAAUUCAGCCAGGCUUAGGUCUCCUGGAAGCUAUUUGUGACUGGCCUGAAGUACUACAAGCAAGGAGUGGGUGGGGGACUGCUCAGAGCUUUGAUCCUGGGUGAGGGAAUACCCUUCCCCUCCUCCCCCCCCCAGGGUCACAGGCACAUUUUGGUUAUCUUCCUAAUACCCAUUUUGAAAUAAAGUGCAGACAGUGCCCAGGACUGUCUUCUGCAGUGACUCUUUAUUUAUUCCUCUUUGUUACAACAUUCCAGUCCAUGAAUAUACCUUAACUGUUGACAUACCAAGCUGCAAGGUUCUUUGUCACUGCUGCCCCAGCCGUACCACCCUGCUAAAUGAAUUUAUAGCUCUUGGUAGAGCAGCAUCUGGUGCACCAGUCAAACCAGCACAGCCAAGUGUGUGGGAAGAAAAGUCUCACUCAUCACUGGUUCAUAAACACAGGUUAUAUGCCUAAGGCUGGCUCCUCCUUAGGUUCAGUUCUUGCUGCAGCUUUCCUUCCCCACCCCUGCAGAGCCUAUUUAACCCUUCCAGUUCCAGAAUGAAUCCAGUUAAUUAAGAGCUCAGGUUCAUUGUACAACAAACACUGUGCUCCCCUCUCAACACAGGAAUUUCCUAAAAUAUUACAUCAAAUUAGGAGUUUUUCUUUAAAGCCAAACAAAGGGGAUUAUUCCACUGGAGUGGAGUUUUAUGCUGUGUAAUUCUGACUAAGUCCUGAGGAAGUACGUAUCAGAUUAAUCUAGGUUCAGUGACAGAUGAACCCCCCACUCCUCCCAGAACAAGGAACUGAAGAGGAACAGAGCCCUGGCUGAGUAUCCAUGAUUAAAAGAUUGAAAUGAGCAACAGGCACGUGAAAGAACAAGGAUUAAUUCUACCUGUGGAAGUGUUACCCUACGAGCCUGGCUGCUGCAGCCUAUGUGUUCCCAGCAGAUCAUUCUGGGGUUGGAAAACUAAAGUGAAUUCUUUAAUACUGAUGUUACUGUGCUGCUGCCUGACCUAAUCACCACACCGGGGGCAAAGACAGUUCAAGGGCUACACAUUAGGACUGCCAUUAAGAUGUGAACAAAUCAAGCCUCAACUACCCUUAACAUUAGCACCAUGAGUAGGUGCACAUCUCUUCUCUUGUGGAAUGUUGCAACCAGGUUGCUUCCCACCAAAAAUGCCAGCAACUGUCAUCUGCAAGCUUAAGCCAACUGCCCCUGUAGGGAUGACCUCUCCUGUUAGACUAUAACACAAAGUCAAUAUCUAUAGCUGUAGGCACACUGAAAUAGCGCCAGGCUUUGGUAGUGUCACAGUCUUGCUGGGACAAAGUAGUGGGCUGUAGAAAGCCUGGCCCUAUAUAACUGAUAGCACUAGCCUGUGACUAUGGGAGUCAUGGGUAACCAACCGAAUGAAAUCUAACGAGCAACCUGUUGGGUUCAGCAAACUGAACUAACCACCCUUCAAGCUUUCCCCUUCAGAAACAGGUCCAGCAAUCUAAACACAGUUCUAGUGCAGCAGAGCUAGUGGGGAUUAGUCUGGCUGAGAGGAAGGGGGACAGCUAAGGAUAAUACUUUACUCAUAUAGCACAUUCCAGCCAAGGAUCUCCAAGCACUUCAAACAUUCAUCCAUGCAGCCUCAACACCCCUGUGAGGUAGAUCACUUAGUCUCAUUUUGCAGGGUAUGGGAUGGAGGUACAGAAGUUAAGUGACUUGCUGACAAUCCCACAGCGAGGCAGAAGCAGGAAUAAAACUCAGGAGCUCUGAUGCUGACCAUUGCUCUUAAUUCCUAGCCCCCCCAGCCUCUGCAUCCAACUAGUCUGAGAUGCCUGCUUCAGAGCAGGAUAGACCCUUACCAGUGUACACAGUUCACCCCCUUCUGCUGUCUUGCUUUAAGGAAUUUGCCUUGCUAGGGCAGAAUGUGGAGGGGAGGAGUCUCCCAGCGCCCCCUCCUUUUGUUGUUAUGAAGAUAGGAAGUUUAAGCCCAAGGCAAUUCUGUGGUCAGUGGCGGAGGAAGGCA